AGAUGAAAACCAGAAACAGGAAAGAGAGGAAGACUUAGAGAGUGGACUCCUCAGUUCCAAGGUGGGCGGUGAGAGCCACGCCCUCUGGAGGGGGUGCGGGGAGAUACACAGCCUGGACCGCCAGGGGUGGGAGGCGUGGCUGGGGGGCUGGGAGCGCCAGCUGGCCGGGGGGAGCCCCCCCUCCUUGCUCCAGACGCUGGAGGGGCUGCACCACCUGCAGAGCCUGUGCCGAAUACUGCAGGCUGAGGAGCCUCUCCAGAAGGCACGCGGGUACGAGGGCCUGAAUCAAGCGGAGAGCAAGGACAUCAAGGCCAAGCGGAAAUCGCCCUACAUACUGAAGAGGCAGCUUCACUUGGACAAGGCGAGGAGGCCGUAUCUUCUUAAGAGAGGAACCGUUCAAUGACCCAGCCCCCCCCUCCCCCCCAAGGCGGCUCCCAGGAGAGACAUUUUCCGCGCUGUGAAUGUACGCAGACGUGCUAACUCUGUCAAAUGUUACCAUUCUUCUCGUGUUUGCGCAUGUGGGUGUCUCAGUCGUCCCUCGAGCAUCCUCUUCCCUUGCCCGGCCCUGGCCAACGGUGACGGCGCAGGGAAGACCGGACUGGGAAGCCCAUGGUGGAGGGGUUUUGCGUCAUGCCGGUUCCCGCUUGACAUCGGUAAACAUGUUGUUUCUAUUC